AGAACGAACGCUGGCGGCAGGCUUAACACAUGCAAGUCGAACGCUCGUAGCAAUACGGGAGUGGCAGACGGGUGAGUAACGCGUGGGAACAUACCCUCCGGUUCGGAAUAGCUCAGGGAAACUUGGAUUAAAUACCGGAUACGGCUGAGAGGCGAAAGAUUGAUCGCCGGAGGAUUGGCCCGCGUUCGAUUAGCUUGUUGGUGAGGUAACGGCUCACCAAGGCUAUGAUCGAUAGCUGGUCUGAGAGGAUGAUCAGCCACAUUGGGACUGAGACACGGCCCAAACUCCUACGGGAGGCAGCAGUGGGGAAUAUUGGACAAUGGGCGCAAGCCUGAUCCAGCCAUGCCGCGUGAGUGAUGACGGCCUUAGGGUUGUAAAGCUCUUUCGCUCGGGACGAUAAUGACGGUACCGAGAUAAGAAGCCCGGCUAACUUCGCGCCAGCAGCCGC
rnacentral:rRNA from 1 species